rnacentral:rRNA from 1 species
GAUGAACGCUGGCGGCGUGCCUAAUACAUGCAAGUCGAGCGAACGGACGAGAAGCUUGCUUCUCUGAUGUUAGCGGCGGACGGGUGAGUAACACGUGGAUAACCUACCUAUAAGACUGGGAUAACUUCGGGAAACCGGAGCCAAUACCGGAUAAUAUUUUGAACCGCAUGGUUCAAAAGUGAAAGACGGUCUUGCUGUCACUUAUAGAUGGAUCCGCGCUGCAUUAGCUAGUUGGUAAGGUAACGGCUUACCAAGGCAACGAUGCAUAGCCGACCUGAGAGGGUGAUCGGCCACACUGGAACUGAGACACGGUCCAGACUCCUACGGGAGGCAGCAGUAGGGAAUCUUCCGCAAUGGGCGAAAGCCUGACGGAGCAACGCCGCGUGAGUGAUGAAGGUCUUCGGAUCGUAAAACUCUGUUAUUUGGGAAGAACAUAUGUGUAAGUAACUGUGCACAUCUUGACGGUACCUAAUCAGAAAGCCACGGCUAACUACGUG